CAGCCAGCCUUUUGGAAACAGGGAGCCCCGGGUCCAAUGAGAUACCCUGUCUGAAAACAUGAGGCAAAGAGCAGUAAUACAAGUCAACUGCUGUCCAACACACGCACAUGCACGGAUAAGCAUACCUAUACACACAUGUGCAUAACACACACACACACAUGAACACACCUGUGCACAAAUGUACACAACAUACACACACACACACACACACACACACACACAAGUUUCAGUGAUCACUUUUUUUUCUCCUAUCAGCCCCCGGCAACCUAAUCUGCUUCCCCUUUUAAUGAAUUUAUCUAUUAUGAUCAUUUCAG
rnacentral:lncRNA from 1 species